rnacentral:lncRNA from 1 species
AUGCCUGUAGUUGGAUUAUCUCUUGCUGGACUGGCCAGGCCCAAGGGGUGGACAUUCUACAAUCUACAAAGUGAGCCUCCGAAAAAGAUCCAUGAGCUUCUGAUGACCAGUGGCGACGUCAGCUCAUCAGAAGUCAGAAGCCGGUAUUGUCUCAAAGACAUGCACCAGCACCCCUGGAAACAGCAGCACCUUGCUGGCUGUAUCAGAACCCUUUUUGGGCAAUCUGUGUCUGUCUGAGACUCUUUCUGAGAAACUUGAAAGGUCCUGCUCACUCCCUCUCCUUUAUUUUGCCUUGCUACUUUUUAAAAGGAGGGAUGCUUUUGCUAUUUUCUUGCCUGUAAAUGUUCUUGGGGAGAAACAAGUGAUGAUUCUUGCACAAGUUCUGUUUCUCCAGAGAAGAUCAGGUCUGCAGUCUCAAUUCAUUCCUGGUAGCAGCAGCCUUCUUUCCCUGGGAACUCCGGGUUGGCAGGCCUAGACCUGCUGCUUCCAGCAACCACACUCCGACUGGCUGGCUGGUCUACAGGUAGCCUCACAUGUCACGGCCUGCAGAGUUGGAGUUGACCUCAGAACAAAAUGCCAGGAAGUGUCAGCUGUUGAAUUUAUCGAGCAGUAAGAGCUCUUCCAGCGGCGCCGAGAAAUGGUUCAUGUGACCUUUUUCCAGUCUACUGCAGAUUGGCUCCCAGAACAAAUCAUGUCAUCAAUUAGUCUUUCUCCAAAUUCCUAUAUCAGCUGCUAAGGAAGAAAAACAGCAAGCUCAUAGGAGGAUUCAGGGGACAGGAGCAACUGCUGAGUCAGAACGACAGCACAGCAUCGGGCGGCUUCUAAGAGGAGGCAUCAGAAGUCCUCCUUCUGCUCCAGUGAUUAGCCUUCUCUUGACAUCCCCCAACAGGGAGAGGUGGGGAGCACAUAAAAGCCAGGGGAAGUGGCUCUGUGAUUGUGAUUGCUUGAGCUGCAGUAGGAAGAGCUCCUUAAGCAGCGAGGUAACCCACUAUCAGGUCUAAACCCACCUGACUCAUCACAAACUGUUCACUAUUCACUUUGUUUUCCAGAGAAGGAAUGCAGCCCGGUGGGGAGAAGGAACCUGGGUGAGAACUCAGUUAACAGACCCACCUUUGCCUUUCUCAUCUGUGAAGUGGAAGCAGUCAUACCUAGAAUCCUCCGGAAGAUUAAAUUGUAGGACAAGUGUGCUCAGCGUCUGUCCACAGAUGGGAGGCUUGACUGAGGAACAGUCGAGCCACUUGGAGGCUUAGCAGUAAUGUCAUUGUCAGAAUGGCUCCCUUUAUCUUCCCUAAAUCUGCAGGUUAAGCCUCUGGCUCAGGUUCACUCAUGGCUGCCAAUGUAUCCCCCAACAGGAUCUGUUUCUGGUUUCAAAGUUCUGAUCACAAUAAGAAAGACAUGCAUAUG